ACGCUCGACACCUACGGGGGCAGCAGUGGGGAAUAUUGCACAAUGGAGGAAACUCUGAUGCAGCGAUGCCGCGUGAGGGAAGAAGGUUUUCGGAUUGUAAACCUCUGUCUUUGGGGACGAUAAUGACGGUACCCAAGGAGGAAGCUCCGGCUAACUACGUGCUAGCAGCCGCGGUAAUCUGAGGCGGGCUGGCAAGGC
rnacentral:rRNA from 1 species